rnacentral:rRNA from 1 species
AUUGAACGCUGGCGGCAUGCCUUACACAUGCAAGUCGAACGGCAGCGGACCUUCGGGUGCCGGCGAGUGGCGAACGGGUGAGUAAUGCAUCGGAACGUGCCAUUGAGUGGGGGAUAACGUAGCGAAAGUUGCGCUAAUACCGCAUAUUCUGUGAGCAGGAAAGCAGGGGACCGCAAGGCCUUGCGCUCUUUGAGCGGCCGAUGUCAGAUUAGCUAGUUGGUGAGGUAACGGCUUACCAAGGCGACGAUCUGUAGCGGGUCUGAGAGGAUGAUCCGCCACACUGGAACUGAGACACGGUCCAGACUCCUACGGGAGGCAGCAGUGGGGAAUUUUGGGACAAUGGGGGCAACCCUGAUCCAGCCAUGCCGCGUGAGUGAAGAAGGCC